GACGAACGCUGGCGGCGUGCUUAACACAUGCAAGUCGAACGGAAAGGCCCUGCUUUUGUGGGGUGCUCGAGUGGCGAACGGGUGAGUAACACAUGAGUAACCUGCCCUGUACUUUGGGAUGACUGCAGGAAACUGGGGCUAAUACCGGAGAGGAGCUCCUGCUGCAUGGUGGGGGUUGGAAAGCUUCGGCGGUUGGGGAUAGACUGGCGGCUUACCAGCUGGUUGGGGGGGGAGUGGCUUACCAAGGCUUUGGCGGGUAGCCGGCAUGAGAGGUUGAACAGCGACAUGGGGCCUGAGAGACGGAGCAGACGGGAAUGGUAGGCAGUAGUGGGGAACAUGGCACAACGGGCGGAAGCCUGAUGAAGAAAUGCCGCGAUCGGGAUGACCGCCUUCGUGGUGUAAACCGCUUUCGCCUGUGACGAAGCGUGAGUGACGGUAAUGGGUAAAGAAGCACCGGCUAACUACGUG
rnacentral:rRNA from 1 species